AUUGAACGCUGGCGGCAGGCCUAACACAUGCAAGUCGAGCGGGGUUUUCGGACCUAGCGGCGGACGGGUGAGUAAUGCGUAGGAAGCUACCCGAUAGAGGGGGAUACCAGUUGGAAACGACUGUUAAUACCGCAUAAUGUCUACGGACCAAAGUGUGGGACCUUCGGGCCACAUGCUAUCGGAUGCGCCUACGUGGGAUUAGCUAGUUGGGUAGGUAAUGGCUCACCAAGGCGACGAUCCCUAGCUGGUUUGAGAGGAUGAUCAGCCACACUGGAACUGCGACACGGUCCAGACUCCUACGGGAGGCAGCAGUGGGGAAUAUUGGACAAUGGGCGCAAGCCUGAUCCAGCCAUGCCGCGUGUGUGAAGAAGGCCUUCGGGUUGUAAAGCACUUUCAGUAGGGAGGAAGGGUUAAGUGUUAAUAGUACUUAACUUUGACGUUACCUACAGAAGAAGCACCGGCUAACUCUGUGCCAGCCGCCGCAGUAACAC
rnacentral:rRNA from 1 species